UGAGGGGCGGGGCCGCGGUUCCGGUGCGCGGCGGCGGUGGCGGUGGCGGCGGCGGCGGCGGCGGCGGCGGCGGCGGGAUCGGGAUCGGGAUCGGGAUGAAUGAGGCGGAGGGGCUGCGGCAGCGGCGGCCGCUCCGCCCGCAGGUCAUCACUGAGGACAGCCCGGCGCAGGAGGCCAAGGAGGGCAGUACCUACAGCAGCAAGGUGUUCCGUGUUACCUUCCUGACUUUGGCUGUGUCUGUGGCUGUGCCUCUGCUUGGAGUGACUGUUCUCCUGGAUUGUCCUAUAGACCCUCAGCCCAUAAGUUUGAAGGAGCCUCCCCUCCUGACGGGUAUUUUGGAGCCCAACACCAAGUUACGAAAAGCUGAACGGCUGUGGGAAAACCAGCUGGUUGGACCAGAGUCCAUUGUCAAUAUUGGGGAUGUUCUGUUUACUGGGACAGCUGAUGGGAAGAUUAUCAAAAUCGAAGAUGGGGAAAUACAAACAAUAGCCAGAAUUGGCCAUGGUCCUUGUGGAGGCCGUGAAGAUGAGCCGACGUGUGGAAGACCGCUUGGCAUGCGAGUGGGGCCAAAUAACACCCUGUUUGUGGCAGAUGCUUAUUACGGACUCUACGAAGUUGAUCCUGCUACAGGUGAAACCAAGACACUGGUGUCAAGCAAAACUCUGAUAGAAGGCCAGAAGUUGUCAUUUGUAAACGAUCUUACAGUGACCAGGGACGGGAGGAAGAUCUACUUCACCGACUCCAGCAGUAAAUGGCAAAGACGAGACUACUUGUUCCUGGUUAUGGAAGGCACGGAUGAUGGGCGCCUCCUUGAAUAUGACACAGUGACAAAAGAAGUGAAAGUCUUAAUGGUGGGGCUGAGGUUCCCCAAUGGUGUGCAGCUCUCUCCUGCAGAAGACUUUGUCCUGGUGCAGGAGACAACCAUGGCCAGAAUCAGAAGGUAUUAUGUGUCUGGGCUGAUGAAAGGUGGAGCAGAUAUGUUUGUUGAGAAUAUGCCUGGUCUUCCAGACAAUAUCAGGCUAAGCAGCUCUGGAGGAUAUUGGGUAGCUAUGGCAGCUGUGCGACCCAAUCCUGGAUUUUCUUUGUUGGACUUUUUAUCUGAAAAACCAUGGAUUAAAAGGAUGAUAUUUAAGGAAAGAAAAAGGGACUCUCUCUAACCAUGCAACAAGACAGGAUCUGCAUUUGGAUAUGUGAAGACUUCACCUGAAGUGCCUAAACUGCUUAUUGCCAGGUGUCUGAAGAGCAUUUGGGAAGUGUGAGCUGUUCCCAUGACUGCCCUAGGCACCCUAGGAGACAGUGUUUGCUGAGUCAGGAAACUGUGACAAAGUUUGUACCCAAAUACAGCCUUGUUGUUGAACUCAGUGAGACAGGAUCCUACAAAAGAAGCUUCCAUGAUCCCAAUGGAGUGACAGUAGCUUAUGUCAGCGAGGCACAUGAACACAAUGGACACCUUUACCUGGGAUCCUUCCGCUCUCCCUACAUUGCCAGACUUGAUCUCCAGCAUGUUUAACUGCCCACCCAUGAUGAAGUCCCACUGUCCUGUACUACUCCAGAAGUGCAAAGGAACCAUGUGCUUGAGACAGUGUGUGACCAAAGACAAAAAGUGAGAGUCUCUUAAGGUGCAGGAGUGCUGUGGCCAUAGGAAGAGAUACAGCUUGCUGUACCUGUCCUCUGUCUUGGCUGACUGCUCAUGCUCUGAAGUUGGCCUGUAUUAUUGUUCAUAUCUGAGGAUUAUGGUGAGGCAUCUUCAUUCAGUUCUUUGUUCCUCCAAGGAAAUCCAUUGAUUUUCCUGUGCCCAGCCUUGUUUGGAAUCAUCUUGAACAGACACCAUCAUGUCGCCUUUAAUGCCACUUUAUGUUCUCUUACACUGGAAGGAUUUGUGAUGGAUGGAAUUUAAUAGUGUGUGAUUUGGGUGGAAGAGGGUGGCUUGCAUGUGUUCAUUUCUGUUUUAGUGCCUCCUGUCCCAGAGUGAAUACAAUGCAUGUUCUAAUGUUAUACCAUGGUGCUGUGGUAGAGGCAGCAACAUCCAGGACAUGCCGAGGAAUCUAGUUAUGCCAUUGGGGUUCUUCAGUCCCAGCCUGUGUAAAUAACAGCAGACAUUGCAAUUAACUGUUAAUUAACAUGCAGAAUCAAAUUGGAUCGUUACCUGUGGGCUCCUGUGUUUCUUUAUAACAUUGAGGUCAGAUGAUGAAUGAAGUUGCAUUUUCUAUGUUAUUAAGGAUUAGUUCCAAUGGGUCUGAAAAGGGUUGUUUGUUGAAUUUCCUCCAUGUUUUACCAGGUCCUGAAUGUCUCCUGUUCAUUAUCUAUGUGACCAUUCCAGGCAGAAAAGGGCUAGCUGCAGGAAUCCUCUUCAACAUGCUUUUUAUGAAGAAGUGGUAAAGGUUUUGGGGAAGAUUGGUGUCUGAUGAUGGAUGUGGACUCAAAUGGCCUCUGUAAAAUCUACUGUUGGUGGAUGAGGAAGGCUUUGGUGGAAGUUUUUGGAAUACAGUAGUAGCUCAUGGAUGCAUCUCUGCUAGCAGAGAUAACUCUGUUAACAGAUACUCUGCUUGGUAAACUUGGAGAAUGCUUUGCUGCCAGCUGUGGCAAAGGAAAGCCUGUGCUGUUAGGUUUUGUGGCUGCAAUGGCUGGCAGCACAAAGGAAUUCCAGACAAUAACUCAGUUUCACAGAGGAGCCAGGGAGGAGAGGGGCUAUGGUGGACCUUGUGCUCACCAACAAGGAGGGGGAAUGUGCAGCUCAAGGGCAGCCUUGGCAGGCAUCAUGAGGUGGUGGAGUUUUAGUUUCUUAGAGUAGGGAGGAGGGUGUAGAACAAGCUUGCUGCCAUGGACUUCAGAAAGGCAGAAUUUGGCACCUUCAGGGAUUUGCUUGGUAGAGUACCAUGGGAUAAAGCCCUGGAGGGAAGAAGGGCCCAGGAAAGAUGGUUGAUAUUCAAGGAUUACCUCCUCCAGGCUCAGGAGUGAUGCAUCCCAGUAGAGAGGAAGUUGGGAAAAAAUGCCAGGAGGCCUUGUGAACAAUGAGCUCCUAGACUAGCUCAGACACUAAAAGGAGGCCUCUGGAGGGUGGAAGCAGGAGCUGUAGCCUGGCAGGAAUACAGAGAGGUUCCCAAGCAGCCAGAGAUCAGGUUAGAGGAGUUAAAGCCCUAAGAGAAUUAAACAUGGCCAGGGACAUCAAGGACAACAAGAAAAGCAAGAAAACAAGAAAAGCUUCUGCAGGUAUGUGGGUGGUAAAAGAAACACUGGGAAAAAUGAGGACCCUCUCUGGAAGGAAAGGGGAGACCUGACUACUGGAGACAUGGCAAAGGCUGAGGUGCUCAGUGACUGUUCUGUCCCUGUCUCCACCAGCAAGUGCUCCAGCUGCAGCAGGGAAAGGCAGGCACUGGGAGAGUGAAGAAUCAGCUGCUGUAGGAGAUCACAUUUAGAUCAUCUGAAGGUGCAUAGGACUUGUUAAAAUGCAUCUAUGGGUCCUGAGGGAACUGAUAGAUGAAGGGGCUAAGUCACUAUCCAUUGUAUUUGAGGAGCUGUGGUAGUCCAGUUAAACUCCAACCAACUAGAAAAGGGGAAAAUAACCCUCUUUUUUUUUUUGUAAAAAAAGGGAAGAAAGGAAGACCUGGGGAACUACAGCCUGUCAGUCUCACCUCUGUGCCUGGCAAGAUCACGGAGCAGAGAGACUAAAACAGGCUGCUCAGGGAAGUUGUGGAUGCCCCACCCUUGGGAGUGUUCAAGGCCAGGCUGGACUGGGCUCUGAGCAACCCAGUCUCAUGGGAAGUGUCCCUGAUGAUCUUUGGGGUCCCUUCCAACCCAAAGCAUACUGUGAUUUUAAAUAAGAGGUUUUGCAUCUUGAAGAACUAAAGGGGUUACUUCAAGCAGCUGUGUGAUUUAGUGCAUUGAUACUUCGGAAUCUAAGCUUUUGCUGCUCUCUCCUUUUCUGCCACUGGGUGACAAUACAACCUAAACUUACACUAUUGCUGCAUUUCUUCACCUUUGCAAAGGAGAGAGAUUUGCUUUAAAUAUAUAACAAAAAACACCAGAAAAGGGGAAGGUGAUGCUAAAAAUGUCACCUGAUUUCUCUGGCUUUCUGCUCUUCUCUUAAUGGAGGGCUAUGCAAAUGAAAAUUACUCUUCCCUGUCAGUGCUUCUGUCACCUUGUUCUGUGUAAUUGCCAGGCUGCAGCAGUCCUGUGGCAUAGCUGAUGCCUCCUGGAUCAGGUUUAUUUGUUUCUGUACAGGCCAGGGGCUGCUCUUUUUGGGAAAACCCAGUCCAGGGCAGGCUGCUUAAGCACCAGCUGGUUCACUGCUCUGCCAGCCCUUGCAAAUAUUUGUCCUCUUCUGGUGAGAUAUGAAAGUUGAUGUGAUCUCAAGUUGGGGUUGAAAAAGCAAAUCUACUGUGGUGAUUCUUUUAUGCUGAUGCUUUCACACCCUUGGGGCAAGCACAGCUUUGCCUCUUAGUACACAGUUAUCACUAGCAAUUUAUUUGCCAAAGUAUUUCAUCAAGUAACCUUUGGAUAGAGUGCAGUUCUCAGUUAAUUUUUAUUUUUUAAGGGUACUGCAGACUGACUGGACUGGUACCCCGUAAGCUCCCUCUAUUUGUACAGGCUGGACAGACAGGCUUUAUUCAGUCUGAGAGAUUAAAUAUCUCUGAAGUCUGUAAAGUCCCAGCUGUGGUGGGUGGCACAAUGCUGAGAAACAAACCUUGCAUGGUGACAGGCUGCUUAACCAGGCCACUGGUGUUCCAUUUCUCAUAAGAACCUUAACACUUCCAUUUUAGCCAGAUCCCAUUCCCAGUGUUGUGCUGGAUCCUGAUAACCCAUCCAAGGUAUGCAGAAGUGGGGGGAUCUGUAAUAAAACCCAGAUGAAACAGAUUGACUGACACACAGGUCUCAUUAUUCACCAUAAGGGGUGCUUAAGAACAGUAUUUUUCUAGAAACUAUUUUUUUCUUAAAAAAAAAACUUUAAUCUUUGAUUUUCUCUCAAAUGCAAAAGUAAAGCAGCAGCACUAAAAUGCCUGUGGAAUAAACAAACUAGCAUAAAGUACUCUUGAAGCUCCUGUGAGGACUGGUUUUUCAGGCUCAUUCCACUUCCACAGAGGCUGAGUCAAUGCUGUCUGGAUUUCAGAUGGAUGGUGACACACCUGCCUUGAGCAAGGAGAAACCUGGAAUAAGUCAGGCUUGGAAAAAAACAGCCAGUCUUCUCUUUUGAUGAUAGGAGUGCAGGAAUAUGACACCUCUGCAGCUCUGAGACUGGCUUUUCUUUAGUGUGAGAAGUCUUACUGGAUGCAAGAGCAUUUACAGAGGUAUCCAAAGGUCUUGUCAGAGCAUGUUUGGCUUUUGGUGGCAGAAGAAGAGGGCUGUCAUUCCCUAAGGAGGGAGGAAGUCCUCUCUGCAUAACUCCCAGAGAAGCCUGAGGCCUCUUCCUGUGUGUUACCAAGUUUCUUUUGGGUCUGACUGUGGCAUAUGAGACAAUGUUGCCCUGUCUUCUGAAAGGCUUGGAGAAAUUUUCUAUUUUAUGUAAAGCCUUGCAGUAAAACUAUCCAAGGAAAGGAACGGAGCUGGAGUACACCACAGUUCUGCAUUUCAAAACUGUGUUUUGUUUUGCCUUGUUGAUGGAAUAAAUGUUUCUGCAGGGCACAAGUAUUGAGAAGAUUUUGCUGAAAGUAUUUAAAAUGUUACUCCACAGUUAACUGCCUUGUUUCUUGUCUGGAGCGACUUCUGUACUGGAGCUGCUGGAACAUAACUUGUGUGCCCCUGACACUUUUAUGUAAAGGUUAUUUUCUCAGUGUGAACAGCUGAUGAAAGUGAUUGCAAAGCCUUGGUAUAAAUCUGAUUACUUUAAAUUUGUGUCUGCUUUGUGCCAGUAAAAACUUUGCAGGUGAGAUAAUGACCUCUUAAGCUUCUGGGUCUGUCUGCUCAGUGAUCACAACAGGGAUCUGAUGAUGCUGACACUUGGGCCUUCUCAUCUAGCCUGCUUAAAAACAGUGCUGCAAAAGAAUGAGCACAGGGGGCAGCUGAUUUUUACUAAUUUGAGGUAAGGACUGAAGAAUUUAGCAGUAAGUUGGUGUAGUUAGCCAUGUGUGCAAGGCUUUUUUCUCUCAGUCAGCAGCUGUCAUGUCUCCUUAUCUGUCUGCUGCCAGCUAAACCUUGCGUUGGUUCCAUGUAGCUGUGACUCCCCCAGCUGUCAGUGGGCUCUGAAAGUCAGCCAGGUUGUGAAACUGGGUGCAUCUGGUAAAGGCAGAACUUCCAGGUCCUUCAUAUAGAGCUGCUGCUGUCAACAGAAUGCAAAGUGGGAAGUCUGUCAGUCAGCAAUGCUUCAUAUUUUGGUGGCAGGCAGUUUGUUUCCUAUGCAAUUUUAAAAAUGGGAGUAUGAGAGAAAAUAUUUGCAGAGCAGAGCUGAAUUGAGCAAAUUCAGAUCUCCAUUUGAGGAUCACCAGCCAUUUUGAAGCUGUGGUAAAACUCAGGUUGUGGUUAUCCCACAAGCUCUUAAUGUCACUGCUGGGAUUGUUCCUUUUUUCUUCAACAUACAGGGCUGGUAGAAGCAAAUUUUCCUACUCACCUCAUGCCCUAAAUCUUUACUAAAAUAUUUUUGAAUCACCAUUGUAACCUGAAAUAGAUGCCAGAGACCCAGCAAGGUCUGCAAGGGUAUGAACUCCUUGGAGUGAAUUGGUGAACUGUGUAACCUUGGUGUAAAUUGUAGCCAAGAUGCAGAGGACAGAGGCAUUGGCUUUUUGAUGGCUGCAUGUCAUUGUGAUUAAGUGGUAUUUAGCUGCAGUUCUUUAGGUCAGUGCUAGCAGUGUCCUCCUCUUUAAUUACCCAAAUCCUUCCUGAGUGAAGUGCUCUGGAGUGAUACAAAGAGCUCAGUUUAGCUCUGCUCCUUUCUUUGGUGCUGAUGAAAGCUCUAUUACCAUAGCUGAGAGGAUGAUGGAUACUACAAUUCCAGUGUGCCUUUCUUAUUGUAAAGCACACUGGAAUUAUAUGUCACAGUGAACACUUGGAUGCAGCUUUGAACAUAAGGCUGAUCUCUCUUUCUCAGCAGGUGCUUGUCUGUUUGGAUAGAGAGUUCUGAGCAGUCGUGCUGCAUUUUCCUUGGGAGAACAGCAAAGGCCUGUUGGAUUUGUCAGCCUGCAUGAUGCCAAGUUCACCUGGCUUUAACUUUUGUUGCUCUGACAAAUGGAGAAUUGGCUUGGUGACUGAGAUGAAGUGCUGUGUAUCAGGGGCUUGGAGAGUUGCAGAGGGGACACUGUUGUGUGACAAGCUCACUGCCAGCAUGCAUCUCUGCACAGACCUGAAGUGACAGAGUGCUGCCUGCUCACCCCUGUGGUGGCAUCUGAGAGGCAAAUGACAUUUGUUCCUGAACACCAGUCUGUCCUGCUAGCUGAAGGAACAUGGAUCUGCCCAUCCUGUUCUGGCCCAGACUGUCCAGAGCUGACAGCCUGGUUGGAAGCCCUUGGCAUUGUGUGAAGCAUACAGCUGAAGGAGAAGAGGGAUUGAGACCAUUCCUAACCCCUCUGAAAUGCCAGGAGCAGCUCUUCCUGGCUUUUGUUGCUCUCCUACAAACUUAGCUGUGGCUUGGCUUUCCUGCUGUGUGGACAGCCUGAGCCACCAUAGCUGACUUUCUUUCUCCUUGUCUUUGGCACCAGGCUGGUGGUGGCGGCUUUGUGUGAUGGCUGAAUGUGGCAUCACAUUACAUCCUCUUGUGGCCCUUCUGGAACUUUCUUUUGAGCACUGUUUUAGGGGUUUUUUUUCCACACAAGACACUGCUGUUCCUGAAGAUAAGGUGCAGCACAGUUCCCUCUCCAGCACUGGAUGCUGAAUUUGAGCUGCUGCUGGGCCACCUGCUCAUCACAAGUGGUGUUUCUGAAGGAGAACUUGAAACCUGCCCAGCUUUGGGAUUACUUGGAGCAGAUACUCAGCUGUACUAUUAAUACUGUCUGUCUUACUUAGAGCCUUUCACUGGCCUUUCUUUACAGAAUGGUUGUUAGAAGGGCUGAAAAGUGGGGGUAUUGCUAAUAGGAGUUACAAUAUUGCUACAGAAAGGCAACAACUCUCAGAAAAAAAUGAGUAUUUGUGGGAAAAAAGUGUUCCCUGUGGCUUAGAUCAGGGCCCUGCCCAUUUAAAAGGGCUGGUCUGUGUGUGACUGAUCAUGGGCUCAGACCUUAUGGCUGUUUUAAGGGAGCAGCUAUCCAGAUUCUUACUAAUAGGAGCCUUAGUCCACUGUAAGCAAUAACAAGCCCAUGGAUGAAGAGUGAAGACUUGAAAGAAUGGUGGAUGCCCACCUAGAGAAGACCUUCAUUGUACUGAACCUGAAUAUGAACAGUGGUCUGCCAGAGAUUAAAUGUUGUAUAUUAACCUGAAUGGAACUAUUUCAUUUAACCUCAGAAUUAUUCUUUGGGAAUAUUAUUAGAUUUAUUUGCCUUGGCAUUUGCAGAGAUGCCCUUUCACAGUGUAGCUUAGCUUUUGAUUAAAGUGGAAGCACUC